GACUCCAUAGCUAAGUGGUCAUAGCGUGCGAUUGCAGACCGCAAGGUCCCGUGUUCAACUCACGGUGGGGUCU
rnacentral:tRNA from 1 species